rnacentral:rRNA from 1 species
AGUGAACGCUGGCGGUAGGCCUAACACAUGCAAGUCGAACGGCAGCACAGUAAGAGCUUGCUCUUACGGGUGGCGAGUGGCGGACGGGUGAGGAAUACAUCGGAAUCUACUUUUUCGUGGGGGAUAACGUAGGGAAACUUACGCUAAUACCGCAUACGACCUACGUGUGAAAGCAGGGGAUCUUCGUACCUUGCGCGAUUGAAUGAGCCGAUGUCGGAUUAGCUAGUUGGCGGGGUAAAGGCCCACCAAGGCGACGAUCCGUAGCUGGUCUGAGAGGAUGAUCAGCCACACUGGAACUGAGACACGGUCCAGAAUCCUACGGGAGGCAGCAGUGGGGAAUAUUGUAGAAUGGUCGCAAGACUGAUCCAGCCAUAACGCGUGGGUAAAGAAGGACUUCGGGUUGUAAAGACCUUUUGUUGGGAAAGAAAAGCAGCAGGUUAAUACCCCGCUGUUCUGACGGUACCCGAAGAAUAAGCACCGGCUAACUACGUG